rnacentral:sRNA from 1 species
GUAGCUCUGGAAAAAUGAAGUCCCCUAUUGAUCCACAAGCCAGGUACAACACGGGAAGUGACACUGCAAGCUUUCCCAAACUGCCCUGCCACAGUGACCACAACCCUGAACAGAAAAGACCACCCUGGGAAUAAGCAGCAAUUCAGAUUUACCAGCUAAUUCCUGAAUCUC